rnacentral:sRNA from 1 species
CGGGAAACCCCGGCCCGUUGCCUCCGCUAGGUGCAGCCGUGGGGAUGGCAGGUUCGGGGAGGCUGGUCCUACGGCCCUGGAUUCGGGAGCUGAUUCUGGGGUCAGAGACACUCUCCAGUCCACGAGCCGGGCAGCUGCUCGAGGGAGGAGAAGGAGUUCGGCUUCCGCGGGACAGAGGGCCGGCUGCUGCUGCUGCAGGACUGCGGGGUCCAUGUCCAGGUCGCUGAGGGCGGCGCGCCCGCAGAGUUCUACCUCCAGGUGGACCGCUUCAGCCUGCUGCCCACGGAGCAGCCCCGGCUACGGGUGCCUGGUUGGUAAGUGAUGCCUCCGCCCUCCAGCAGCUCUCCCCACCCCAGCCUGGCCGGCGCUGGCAGACGCUUUUGGGG